ensembl:lncRNA
CGAGGAUGGGAUGGACGCGUGAUCUGGACUCUGACGGACGGACAGGAGGCCAUAUAGUAUAGGUGAUUCCUCCCUGAGGGUGAGAAGCUGCCGUCCCGACGAGACCCGGAUUGCCGAUCCAUCCAGUUCAAGAAAAAGAAACGACGAACACGCGAUGACAGAGAGCUUCAUGACUGUGUCGAAGUCUUGCAGCAGACAUGCAUACCAAGGCCUGAUCUGUUGGACACACCUCUUCCCAAUGCAGAUCUUGAGCUGUUUGUAGACGGCUCCGCUUCUCGCUCACCAGACACGGGCAGCGGUCAGGUUGGGUUUUCAGUGGUUACAUCACACAGCACACUUGUUAGUGGCAGGCUUCCUUCACACUUCUCAGCACAGGCGGUAGAGUUGAUUGCACUUGCCGAGGCAUGUAAAGCAGCUGAAGGUAAAACAGUUAACAUCUUCGCUGAUUCACGUUAUUCUUCUGGUGCGGAGCUCUUUAGAGACACAGGGGGUUCCUUACGUCAUCUGGCAAGCCUAUUGCACAUCAUACCCUUGUGUCUGCUUUUCUGGAUGCCAUUUUACUACCCAGAGCCAUUGCAGUCAUUAAACGUGGAGCUCACACCUCUUCUCUUGACCCUGUAUCUGUAGGAAACAGGGGCGCGGAUGCGGCUGCGAAGAAGGCAGCCUCGCAGGGCUUCCUUUUCCCCCUGGCUCACAUGCUUUCCACACCGACCGAUCCUAGUCCUUAUGCCGAUCUUUCAACACUUCGGCCUCUUGCCGGUGCACAGGAGCGUUCCCUGUGGCAACGAUCUGGUGCCAUUCUUGAGGGCGGAAUCUGGACAGGGCCGGACAGUAGGCCCUGUUUGCCACGUGCUCUCUUCUACAUUUAUGCUAAGUUGUCUCACGGAAAAGAUCACGUGGGCAAAGGGGGGAUGUGCACUGCUAUAAAUGAGCAUGCUGAGAUAUUGUGCUAACCUCUCCCCUUCACUCUCAGCACUGCACGAAGAGGUGAAAGCGGCGCUUCCAUCCACAGCUACAGCAAUGCAGCACCACCUGAAACCAGGAGACUGGGUCCUCAUUAAGGAUCACUGGAGGAAGCACUGGAAGCAGAGACGCUACACGGGGCUCUUCCAAGUACUCCUGACCACGGAGACGGCAGUUAAGGUGGAAGGGAAAGCGACGUGG